CCUUCGGGGUAAGUAGAGUGGCAAACGGGUGAGUAACACGUAAGAAUCUACCUUUUGGUGGGGAAUACCUUUGAGAAAUUGGGGUUAAUACCACAUAAGUCCCUAUGGGGAGAAAGACCGCGUAAUGCGGUCGCCGGAAGAUGAGCUUGCGGCCUAUUAGCUAGUUGGUGUGGUAAGAGCGCACCAAGGCAAUGAUGGGUAACCGGCCUGAGAGGGUGUACGGUCACACUGGAACUGAGACACGGUCCAGACUCCUACGGGAGGCAGCAGGGGGGAAUAUUGCACAAUGGGCGCAAGCCUGAUGCAGCGACGUCGCGUGGAGGAUGAAGGUUUUCGGAUUGUAAACUCCUGUUAAACGGGAAGAAAGAGACUUAGCUAAUAACUAAGGAAGAUGACGUUACCGUUAAAGAAAGCACCGGCUAACUUCGUGCCAGCAGCCGCGGUAAUACGAAGGGUGCGAGCGUUAUUCGGAAUAACUGGGCGUAAAGGGCGCGUAGGCGGUUUUCUAAGUUGACGGUUAAAAGCCAUGGCUUAACCAUGGAGAUGCCGGCGAUACUGGAAUGACUAGAGGGUAGUAGAGAGGAGUGGAAUUCUCGGAGUAGCGGUAAAAUGCGUAGAUCUCGAGAGGAACACCGAUGGCGAAGGCAGCUCCUUGGGCUACAUCCGACGCUAAGGCGCGAAAGCGUGGGGAGCAAACAGGAUUAGAUACCCUGNUAGUCCACGCUGUAAACGAUGAUUACUGAAUAUGGGGCGCGCGUGCGUGCUCUGUGUUGAAGCUCACGCGUUAAGUAAUCCGCCUGGGAAGUACGGUCGCAAGAUUAAAACUCAAAGGAAUUGACGGGGGUCCGCACAAGCGGUGGAACAUGUGGUUUAAUUCGACACUACGCGAGGAACCUUACCUAGGCUUGACNUGUAUGUGACAG
rnacentral:rRNA from 1 species